CAGGUUGACCAUGGGACAUUGGUCAACCUUCAUCCCAAAAAUCAAAAGCUAAAAAUAAUUUUAAGUUAGGGAAAUAAAAUCAAGAAAAAAUGUGUGUUAAAAUGGACCAUUUAGAAUAAAUAAUUAAAAUAAACUACUAAUAUUAAAUAAAUACGAAAAUAAAAGUUAAAUAAAAUUAAAUAAGACAUUAGGAAAAGUGAAAGAUAUUUUUGGGUAAUUUUAUGGAUGAAGAAAAUAUUUUAAAUAAUUAAAAUCAAAACAGAAAAAUAGAUGUGA
rnacentral:lncRNA from 1 species